GGUGAGUAAUAUAUCGGAACGUGCCCUGUAGCGGGGGAUAACUACUCGAAAGACUGGCUAAUACCGCAUACGCCCUACGGGGGAAAGGGGGGGAUCGCAAGACCUCUCACUAUUGGAGCGGCCCAUAUCGGAUUAGCUAGUUGGUGGGGUAAAGGCUCACCAAGGCAACGAUCCGUAUCUGGCUUGAGAGGACGACCAGCCACACUGGGACUGAGACACGGCCCGAACUCCUACGGGAGGCAGCACUGGGGAAUUUUGGACAAUGGGGGAAACCCUGAUCCUGCCAUCCCGCGUGUAUGAUGAAGGCCUUCGGGUUGUAAAGUACUUUUGGCACAGAAAAAAAGGCAUCCCCUAAUACGGGAUGCUGCUGACGGUAUCUGCAGAAUAAGCACCGGCUAACUACGUGCCAGCAGCCGCGGUAAUACGUACGGUGCAAGCGUUAAUCGGAAUUACUGGGCGUAAAGCGUGUGUAGGCGGUUCGGAAAGAAAGAUGUGAAAUCCCAGGGCUCAA
rnacentral:rRNA from 1 species